AACGAACGCUGGCGGCAUGCCUAACACAUGCAAGUCGAACGAGACCUUCGGGUCUAGUGGCGCACGGGUGCGUAACGCGUGGGAACCUGCCCUUAGGUUCGGAAUACCUCCCCGAAAGGGGUGCUAAUACCGGAUAAUGUCUUCGGACCAAAGAUUUAUCGCCUUUGGAUGGGCCCGCGUUGGAUUAGCUAGUUGGUAGGGUAAAAGCCUACCAAGGCGACGAUCCAUAGCUGGUCUGAGAGGAUGAUCAGCCACACUGGGACUGAGACACGGCCCAGACUCCUACGGAAGGCAGCAGUGGGGAAUAUUGGACAAUGGGCGAAAGCCUGAUCCAGCAAUGCCGCGUGAGUGAUGAAGGCCUUAGGGUUGUAAAGCUCUUUUACCCGGGAUGAUAAUGACAGUACCGGGAGAAUAAGCUCCGGCUAACUCCGUG
rnacentral:rRNA from 1 species